CCCCCUACUAGAUUUACUGGAUUCCCCUAGUAACUGCGAGUGAAGCGGGAAAAGCUCAAAUUUAAAAUCUGGCGGUCUUGGGCCGUCCGAGUUGUAGUCUGGAGAAGCGUCUUCCGCGCUGGACCGUGUACAAGUCUCUUGGAACCGAACGUCAUAGAGGGUGAGAAUCCCGUCUUUGACACGGACUACCAAUGCUUUGUGAUGCGCUCUCAAAGAGUCGCGUUGUUUGGGAAUGCAGCGCAAAAUGGGAGGUGAAUUCCUUCUAAAGCUAAAUAUUGGCGAGAGACCGAUAGCGAACAAGUACCGUGAGGGAAAGAUGAAAAGCACUUUGGAAAGAGAGUUAAACAGUACGUGAAAUUGCUAAAAGGGAAACGCUUGAAGUCAGUCGCGUCGUCCGGAACUCAACUUUGCUUUGGCUUAGUGCACUUUCCGGUUGACGGGCCAGCAUCGAUUUUGACCGCUGGAAAAGGGUUGGAGGAAUGUGGCACCUUCGGGUGUGUUAUAGCCUUCAGUCUCAUACAGAGGUUGGGAUCGAGGAACGCAGCGCGCCUUAUGGCUGGGGUUCGACCACAUUCGCGCUUAGGAUGCUGGCAUAAUGGCUUUAAACGACCCGUCUUGAAACACGGACCAAGGAGUCUAAAAUGCCUGCAAGUGUUUGGGUGGAAAACCCGAAUGCGUA
rnacentral:rRNA from 1 species